GUAGUCAUAUGCUUGUCUCAAAGAUUAGGCCAUGCAUGUCUAAGCACAAGCAAUUAUACAGCGAAACUGCGAAUGGCUCAUUAAAUCAGUUAUCGUUUAUUUGAUAGUACCUUACUACUUGGAUAACCGUGGUAAUUCUAGAGCUAAUACAUGCUAAAAACCCCGACUCACGAAGGGGUGUAUCUAUUAGAUUAAAAACCAAUGCCCUUCGGGGCUCACUGGUGAUUCAUAAUAACUUGUCGAAUCGCAUGGCCUUGCGCCGGCGAUGGUUCAUUCAAAUUUCUGCCCUAUCAACUUUCGAUGGCAGGGUCUUGGCCUGCCAUGGUUACAACGGGUAACGGAGGGUUAGGGCUCGACCCCGGAGAAGGAGCCUGAGAAACGGCUACUACAUCCAAGGAAGGCAGCAGGCGCGCAAAUUACCCAAUCCCGAUUCGGGGAGGUAGUGACAAUAAAUACUGAUACAGGGCUCUUUUGGGUCUUGUAAUUGGAAUGAGUACAAUUUAAAUCCCUUAACGAGGAACAAUUGGGGGGCAAGUCUGGUGCCAGCAGCC
rnacentral:rRNA from 1 species